rnacentral:rRNA from 1 species
UACGUAGGGGGCGAGCGUUGCCCGGAAUUACUGGGCGUAAAGGGCGCGCAGGCGGCCCGCUAAGUCCGCUGUGAAAGACCGGGGCUCAACCCCGGGGUGUCAGCGGAGACUGGUGGGCUGGAGUGCCGGAGAGGGAUGCGGAAUACCUGGUGUAGCGGUGGAAUGCGUAGAGAUCAGGUGGAACACCGAUGGCGAAGGCAGCAUCCUGGCCGGAGACUGACGCUGAGGCGCGAAAGCUGGGGGAGCGAACGGG